rnacentral:rRNA from 1 species
AACGAACGCUGGCGGCAUGCCUAACACAUGCAAGUCGAACGAGACCUUCGGGUCUAGUGGCGCACGGGUGCGUACCGCGUGGGAACCUGCCCUUAGGUUCGGAAUAACUCCCCGAAAGGGGUGCUAAUACCGGAUAAUCUCUUCGGACCAAAGAUUUUUCGCCUUUGGAUGGGCCCGCGUUGGAUUAGCUAGUUGGUAGGGUAAAAGCCUACCAAGGCGACGAUGCAUAGCUGGUCUGAGAGGAUGAUCAGCCGCACUGGGGAUGAGACACGGACCAGAAUCGUAGGGGAGGGAGCAGUAGGGUAUAUUGGAGGAGGGGCGAAGGUCUGAUCCAGCAGUGCCGCGUGAGUGAUGAAUGGCUUAGGGUUGUAAAGCUGUUUGAGCCGGGAUGUUAAUGACGGUACCGGGUGAAUAAGCACCGGCUAACUCCGUG